AUGCAGCGACGCCGCGUGAGUGAAGAAGUAUUUCGGUAUGUAAAGCUCUAUCAGCAGGGAAGAAAAAAGACGGUACCUGACUAAGAAGCCCCGGCUAACUACGUGCCAGCAGCCGCGGUGAUACGUAGGGGGCAAGCGUUAUCCGGAAUUACUGGGUGUAAAGGGUGCGUAGGUGGCAUGGUAAGUCAGAAGUGAAAGCCCGGGGCUUAACCCCGGGACUGCUUUUGAAACUGUCAUGCUGGAGUGCAGGAGAGGUAAGCGGAAUUCCUAGUGUAGCGGUGAAAUGCGUAGAUAUUAGGAGGAACACCAGUGGCGAAGGCGGCUUACUGGACUGUCACUGACACUGAUGCACGAAAGCGUGGGGAGCAAACAGGAUUAGAUACCCUGGUAGUCCACGCCGUA
rnacentral:rRNA from 1 species